CAGCAGCCGCGGGAAUACGGAGGGUGCAAGCGUUAAUCGGAAUUACUGGGCGUAAAGCGCACGCAGGCGGUCUGACAAGUCAGAUGUGAAAUCCCCGGGCUUAACCUGGGAACUGCAUUUGAAACUGUCAGGCUGGAGUCUUGUAGAGGGGGGUGGAAUUCCAGGUGUAGCGGUGAAAUGCGUAGAGAUCUGGAGGAAUACCGGUGGCGAAGGCGGCCCCCUGGACAAAGACUGACGCUCAGGUGCGAAAGCGUGGGGAGCAAACAGGAUUAGAUACCCGGGUAGUCCCUGUCUCUUAUAU
rnacentral:rRNA from 1 species